CAAAUGGAGAAUUUGUUUCUUUGGCCAGAAAGUUUGCUCUGAUUCACCACACGUUUUCUCAAAAUACUGAACCAUGGUUUUGCAUGGACACCAGUGAAUCAGAAGAGAUGUUCAGUCAAACAACUGAUGCCGUCUGGUGUACCCUAACCGUGCACGCCAGAGCUUCUUCUCAGGGUAAGUGGAUUUAAGUGCUGCCGGUCUGACUCCAUCCUCUGGACCACUGAUAAGUAAGGCCAGCAGACUGGCUAAUUUGGUGCUAAAGAAACCCAGACC